rnacentral:rRNA from 1 species
CUGAGGGGGGGGCCUUAAUCGUGCAGUCGAACGGAUCUUCCCGUUAAUUGAUCAUGGACGAGGCUUGUACUGAAUGAGAAAAGGAGGGGAAGGGAGUGGCGGACGGGUGAGUAACACCCGUUGAAAGCAGGCCCAGAAGAAGGGGAUAACACCUGGAAACAGAUGUUUAAUACCGUAUGACAGAGAAAACCGCCUGGUUUUCUUUUAAAAGAUGGCUCUGCUAUCACUUCUGGAUGGACCCGCGGCGCAUUAGCUAGUUGGUGAGGUAAGGGCUCACCAAGGGGAUGAUGCGUGGCCGACCUGAGAGGGUAAGCGGCCACAUUGGGACUGAGACACGGCCCAGACUCCGACGGGAGGCGGCAGGAGGGAAUCUUCGACAAUGGACGCAAGUCUGAUGGAGCAACGCCGCGUGAGUGAAGAAGGGUUUCGGCUCGUAAAGCUCUGUUGUUAAAGAAGAACGUGGGUGAGAGUAACUGUUCACCCAGUGGCGGGAUUUAACCAGAAAGCCACGGCUAACUACGUGCCAGCAGCCGCGGUAAUACGUAGGUGGCAAGCGUUAUCCGGAUGUAUUGGCGUAAAGCGAUGGCAGGCGGUCUGUUAAGUCUAAUGUGAAAGCCUUCUGGCUCAACCGAAGAAGUGCAUUGGAAAGUGGGAGACUUGAGUGCAAAAGGACAGGGAACUCCAUGUGUGGCGGGGAAAUGCGUAGAUAUAUGGAGAACACCAGUGGCGAGGGCGGCUGUGGGGGCUGGAACUGACGCUGAGGCUCGAAGAGCAUGGGUAGCGAACAGGGA